rnacentral:tRNA from 2 species
CGGGGCGUGGCUCAGCUUGGUAGAGCACCUGCCUUGGGAGCAGGGGGUCGCAGGUUCGAAUCCUGCCGCUCCGA